AAAAACAAUAAAUGUGGAAGGCCAAUAAUUGUGGAAAUGAUUUCAAGAGGCUUCACAACAUAGUCAUGGGUACAGAUAUAGAACCUACUGAGAAAACUUGGGCCAGUAUGCAGAGCACACCAUUCAUCAUAUUCAACCUCCAUACUCUUAGAACAAAUCUAAAAAGCUGGAAACAUAAACCAACGGAUCCACAAAACAAGCUCAUUGGCCCCUCAGUGCUUACUGCCUGUUCUUCUUCUUGACACCGGACUUGGCAACCUGGAGGCUGCGGUAAACUGCGCUCAGUCUUGCAAGAGCAGGCUUGGUCAAGUCAGGCCUGUAGUAGUUGUCACUGACCUGGAAAGCAAGAAGAAUUAACCAUUAGAUCAAGAAAACAAAUGAGGUCGACACGGUUUAACAGGAGGACAUCUUAAGCAGCAUUUCUCCACUUUGUAACCACCAAAGAAAGGACCAUUUCCAGCUAGUACCAUUGAAAACCAAGCACAAACAGGCAGGGGCGGUUUACAAGACAGGCAUUCCAUUUUUUACUGAAUUAAAGCUUUUUCCACAUUAAGGCUCAACUCAGUCACAAGUGAAUGUCACAUACUAGAUACAACCAUACAGCGUUACAAAUAGAAAGUAAAUAUGUAUUCUUCAAAUAUUAGAGCAAGUUUAUAGAGUAAUGUUCCAGGUUGAUUAAAAGCAUUACAUCUGCGGAUUUCAUAACACAGUCCCUUUAGAAGAUUAGAGAUGGGACUGUACAAACUCAGCAGUCAAGCGACCGAAACACUGGAAUGGUUGCUACAGGUUAUAUUUCCAAUAGCAGUUGUCAUUUAGAGUACUUAAUCUAGAACAUCCAGUGUCACAACUUAAUCAUAAAAGAACAAAUAUGGUUGUUUUGAUGCUAAUACCUGGUUCUUGACAGCCUUGGCCAUCUUGCGGAACUCCUUGCGCAUGACAGUCUUGUGGGUGAACGCAGCAGGCUUGUUCUGCUUCUUUGACUUGGUUGUGGAGAGGACCACAGUCAUCUCCUUCUCAGCAGCUGG
rnacentral:lncRNA from 1 species